GAAAAUCUGCCUAUAUUUCCUGCAUAUUUUCAGGGGCCCCUUCCCCACAGAACUCAUUCCCCAAAGGAAAAGCUCUCUGUUUCUGUCCCUCAGGCUCUCAGGACUAGGGAGUGUGGGAAAGUUCACUGUUGACAGUUGAUUGAGUUAACCAGGAACACAGUCUCAAUUUGUAAAAGUUCAGGGGAAAGUAUGGAUGCUCCCUACCUUCUGAACUUUGUCUCAGAUACACGGGAAAAGGAAUGCAGGAGACCAAAAGUCGGUGAGUCCGGGCCUGCUCUACUUAUACUUAGUAACCAUUUCUCUUCCAGAUUCUUUCCAGAUUGGCAGAGAAUCUCUACCUGUGGCUUCUACUUUUUAUUUUUGCCUUUAAGACCUCUGUGAUUAUUUUACCCAUGUGGUUAGGUAAUCUAUAGAUAGAGAUGCUUAUAGAAUUCUUUCUUCAUUAACAUAAAUUUGUUGCAUUACAUCCUAACACAAGGACUGAAAUUGUUCCUUAUCAUCAGCCCCCUGAGGGACAAAGAACUGUUUGAAAAAUGGAUCGCUCAGAACUCAACAAAGUGAAAUGACGGAAAAGGCAAAGGACACGGAUUCAAGAACGUUCAAAAUAUUCAGAUGUUCAUAUAGAAGUGCUUUGACCAGCCUCAAUGUGAGCACGUUGCUAAAAGACUAGUUCUCUCUGUUCCUUGGGAAACGAAAUGAUGCCACUGCACCACCAUCACCCCACACCUUGAUGACUCCCUGCUGGGAGGGUGGUCCCCACACUGCUCCCCAUGCCCUGAAUUGUUUCCUUAGUGUUACUAUAAUAAACCUUUUCUAUUCUUUCA